UACAGAGGUCCCAAGCGUUGUUCGGAUUCACUGGGCGUAAAGGGUGCGCAGGUGGCGCUUCAAGUUUGAUGUGAAAGCUUCGGGCUUACCCGGAAAUGGCAUUGAAUACUGGAGUGCUGGAGGUUUGGAGGGGGGACUGGAAUUCUCGGUGUAGCAGUGAAAUGCGUAGAUAUCGAGAGGAACACCAGUGGCGAAGGCGAGUCCCUGGACAACACCUGACACUGAGGCACGAAAGCUAGGGGAGCAAACAGG
rnacentral:rRNA from 1 species